AUACGGCCCAGACUCCUACGGGAGGCAGCAGUGGGGAAUAUUGCACAAUGGGCGCAAGCCUGAUGCAGCGACGCCGCGUGCGGGAUGACGGCCUUCGGGUUGUAAACCGCUUUUGACUGGGAGCAAGCCCUUCGGGGUGAGUGUACCUUUCGAAUAAGCACCGGCUAACUACGUGCCAGCAGCCGCGGUAAUACGUAGGGUGCAAGCGUUAUCCGGAAUUAUUGGGCGUAAAGGGCUCGUAGGCGGUUCGUCGCGUCCGGUGUGAAAGUCCAUCGCUUAACGGUGGAUCCGCGCCGGGUACGGGCGGGCUUGAGUGCGGUAGGGGAGACUGGAAUUCCCGGUGUAACGGUGGAAUGUGUAGAUAUCGGGAAGAACACCAAUGGCGAAGGCAGGUCUCUGGGCCGUCACUGACGCUGAGGAGCGAAAGCGUGGGGAGCGAACAGGAUUAGAUACCCUGGUAGUCCACGCCGUAAACGGUGGAUGCUGGAUGUGGGGACCAUUCCACGGUCUCCGUGUCGGAGCCAACGCGUUAAGCAUCCCGCCUGGGGAGUACGGCCGCAAGGCUAAAACUCAAAGAAAUUGACGGGGGCCCGCACAAGCGGCGGAGCAUGCGGAUUAAUUCGAUGCAACGCGAAGAACCUUACCUGGGCUUGACAUGUUCCCGACAGCCGUAGAGAUACGGUCUCCCUUCGGGGCGGGUUCACAGGUGGUGCAUGGUCGUCGUCAGCUCGUGUCGUGAGAUGUUGGGUUAAGUCCCGCAACGAGCGCAACCCUCGCCCUGUGUUGCCAGCACGUCGUGGUGGGAACUCACGGGGGACCGCCGGGGUCAACUCGGAGGAAGGUGGGGAUGACGUCAGAUCAUCAUGCCCCUUACGUCCAGGGCUUCACGCAUGCUACAAUGGCCGGUACAACGGGAUGCGACCUCGUGAGGGGGAGCGGAUCCCUUAAAACCGGUCUCAGUUCGGAUUGGAGUCUGCAACCCGACUCCAUGAAGGCGGAGUCGCUAGUAAUCGCGGAUCAGCAACGCCGCGGUGAAUGCGUUCCCGGGCCUUGUACACACCGCCCGUCAAGUCAUGAAAGUGGGUAGCACCCGAAGCCGGUGGCCCAACCUUUUUGGGGGGAGCCGUCUAAGGUGAGACUCGUGAUUGGGACUAAGUCGGAACAAGGUAGCCGUACCGGAAGGUGCGGCUG
rnacentral:rRNA from 1 species